rnacentral:rRNA from 1 species
GAUGAACGCUGGCGGUCUGCUUACACAUGCAGUCGAACGCAACCUUCGGGUUGAGUGGCGGACGGGUGAGUAACGCGUGAGAAUCUGCCUUGGGGUCGGGGACAACCACUGGAAACGGUGGCUAAUACCGGAUAAGCCUUUGGGUAAAAGAUUUAUUGCCCCAAGAGGAGCUCGCGUCUGAUUAGCUAGUUGGUGAGGUAAAAGCUCACCAAGGCAGCGAUCAGUAGCUGGUCUGAGAGGACGAUCAGCCACACUGGGACUGAGACACGGCCCAGACUCCUACGGGAGGCAGCAGUGGGGAAUUUUCCGCAAUGGGCGAAAGCCUGACGGAGCAAGACCGCGUGAGGGAGGAAGGCUCUUGGGUUGUAAACCUCUUUUCUCAGGGAAGAAGCUCUGACGGUACCUGAGGAAUCAGCCUCGGCUAACUCCGUGCCAGCAGCCGCGGUAAUACGGAGGAGGCAAGCGUUAUCCGGAAUUAUUGGGCGUAAAGCGUCCGCAGGUGGCGAUUCAAGUCUGCUGUCAAAGCACGGGGCUUAACUCCGUUAAGGCAGUGGAAACUGAAUAGCUAGAGUGCCGUAGGGGUAGAGGGAAUUCCCGGUGUAGCGGUGAAAUGCGUAGAGAUCGGGAAGAACAUCGGUGGCGAAAGCGCUCUACUGGACGGCAACUGACACUCAGGGACGAAAGCUACGGGAGCGAAUGGGAUUCGAUACCCCAGUAGUCCUAGCUGUAAACGAUGGAUACUAGGUGUAGCUUGUAAUCGACCCGAGCUGUGCCGAAGCUAACGCGUUAAGUAUCCCGCCUGGGGAGUAC